GCCUCUAUAGCUCAGCUGGUAGAGCACCUGAUUUGUAAUCAGGGGGUCGCGGGUUCAAGUCCUGCUGGGGGCACCA
rnacentral:tRNA from 8 species